rnacentral:rRNA from 1 species
AGUGAACGCUGGCGGUAGGCCUAACACAUGCAAGUCGAACGGCAGCACAGUAAGAGCUUGCUCUUACGGGUGGCGAGUGGCGGACGGGUGAGGAAUACAUCGGAAUCUACUUUUUCGUGGGGGAUAACGUAGGGAAACUUACGCUAAUACCGCAUACGACCUACGGGUGAAAGCAGGGGAUCUUCGGACCUUGCGCGAUUGAAUGGGCCGAUGUCGGAUUAGCUAGUUGGCGGGGUAAAGGCCCACCAAGGCGACGAUCCGUAGCUGGUCUGAGAGGAUGAUCAGCCACACUGGAACUGAGACACGGUCCAGACUCCUACGGGAGGCAGCAGUGGGGAAUAUUGGACAAUGGGCGCAAGCCUGAUCCAGCCAUACCGCGUGGGUGAAGAAGGCCUUCGGGUUGUAAAGCCCUUUUGUUGGGAAAGAAAAGCAGCAGGUUAAUACCCCGCUGUCCUGACGGUACCCAAAGAAUAAGCACCGGCUAACUUCGUG